rnacentral:rRNA from 1 species
AUUGAACGCUGGCGGCAGGCCUAACACAUGCAAGUCGAGCGGCAGCGGAAAGUAGCUUGCUACUUUGCCGGCGAGCGGCGGACGGGUGAGUAAUGUCUGGGAAACUGCCUGAUGGAGGGGGAUAACUACUGGAAACGGUAGCUAAUACCGCAUAACGUCGCAAGACCAAAGAGGGGGACCUUCGGGCCUCUUGCCAUCAGAUGUGCCCAGAUGGGAUUAGCUAGUAGGUGGGGUAACGGCUCACCUAGGCGACGAUCCCUAGCUGGUCUGGGAGGAUGGCCAGCCACACUGGAACUGAGGCACGGUCCAGACUCCUACGGGAGGCAGCAGUGGGGAAUAUUGCACAAUGGGCGCAAGCCUGAUGCAGCCAUGCCGCGUGUAUGAAGAAGGCCUUCGGGUUGUAAAGUACUUUCAGCGGGGAGGAAGGUGUUGAGGUUAAUAACCUCAGCAAUUGACGUUACCCGCAGAAGAAGCACCGGCUAACUCCGUGCCAGCCGCCGUAACAC